GUGGGGAAUUUUGGACAAUGGGCGCAAGCCUGAUCCAGCAAUGCCGCGUGCAGGAAGAAGGCCUUCGGGUUGUAAACUGCUUUUGUACGGAACGAAACGGUCCUGGUUAAUACCUGGGGCUAAUGACGGUACCGUAAGAAUAAGCACCGGCUAACUACGUGCCAGCAGCCGCGGUAAUACGUAGGGUGCAAGCGUUAAUCGGAAUUACUGGGCGUAAAGCGUGCGCAGGCGGUUUUGUAAGACAGUCGUGAAAUCCCCGGGCUCAACCUGGGAAUUGCGCUUGUGACUGCAAGGCUGGAGUGCGGCAGAGGGGGAUGGAAUUCCGCGUGUAGCAGUGAAAUGCGUAGAUAUGCGGAGGAACACCGAUGGCGAAGGCAAUCCCCUGGGCCUGCACUGACGCUCAUGCACGAAAGCGUGGGGAGCAAACAGGAUUAGAUACCCGAGUAGUCC
rnacentral:rRNA from 1 species